UAGGGAAUCUUCCACAAUGGACGCAAGUCUGAUGGAGCAACGGCCGCGUGAGUGAAGAAGGUUUUCGGACCGUAAAGCUCUGUUGUUGGUGAAGAAGGAUAGAGGUAGUAACUGGCCUUUAUUUGACGGUAAUCAACCAGAAAGUCACGGCUAACUACGUGCCAGCAGCCGCGGUAAUACGUAGGUGGCAAGCGUUGUCCGGAUUUAUUGGGCGUAAAGCGAGCGCAGGCGGAAGAAUAAGUCUGAUGUGAAAGCCCUCGGCUUAACCGAGGAAUUGCAUCGGAAACUGUUUUCUUGAGUGCAGAAGAGGAGAGUAGAACUCCAUGUGUAGCGGUGGAAUGCGUAGAUAUAUGGAAGAAUACCAGUGGCGAAGGCGGCUCUCGU
rnacentral:rRNA from 1 species